UACGGGGGGGGCAAGCGUUGUUCGGAAUUACUGGGCGUAAAGGGCUCGUAGGUGGCCAACUAAGUCAGACGUGAAAUCCCCAGGCUUAACCUGGGAACUGCGUCGGAUACUGGAUGGCUUGAAUCCGGGAGAGGGAUGCGGAAUUCCAGGUGUAGCGGUGAAAUGCGUAGAUAUCUGGAGGAACACCGGUGGCGAAGGCGGCAUCCUGGACCGGCAUUGACGCUAAAGCGCGAAAGCCAGGGGAGCAAACGGG
rnacentral:rRNA from 1 species